AUGUGGCUGCUGAGCGCUUUCAUCCUGGCAGCUGGCUUUUCUCGCAGUUCCACACAAGUCUUGCAGCAAACUCCCAUAUCCAUCACCAAGCCAGAAAGGAAAACAGUGCUGAUCAACUGCCACGUUUCUGAUCCUGACUUUAACAACAUUUUCAUUCACUGGUACAGAAAGAAGCCCAACACAGCUCCCCAGCACAUUGCCUACAUGUCCUCCAGGGUUGUCCUCCACAGCAAGGCUGAUGAGGGGAAAUUUAGUGUGGAGAAGGACCCCUCUAAAUCUGUCUGCACCCUGACAGUGAGCAAAGUAACUCUGCAAGACUCUGCUACCUACUACUGUGCGAGAUGGGAUGCACAGCAGUAG